AAAGUGAACGAGCAGGUGACGAAGGCACAAGGUCCAACAGUACGCCCCUCUUGAAAGUGCGCAUAAGUACUCUGGCUAUUGACGUGUUUUUGUCGGCUGAAUAAUAACAGCACUGUAUGGAUGGCUGAAAGUGGCACAAGACCUGAUGAACCGGAAAGAUUCCCAAGACAGGGCAGUGUGUCCAGCAAACAAGACCUGAUUCAGUGGGAAAAUACCUCCGUUGAGACAUGCACUAUACUGAGCUGGCUCGGUUACGGACAGGAGAUCAUACAGGCUCGGAGAGACGCAUAUCGGGAGAUAGGCAAGCUGUUAACUGCACGGGCAUGUGGAAUGUCAACGAUAAUUAUUACGGGUAGCAAAGGUGAGGGGCUGAGCAGCUACUUGGAAAGUGAUUUGGA